rnacentral:rRNA from 1 species
UACGUAGGGGGCUAGCGUUGUCCGGAAUCAUUGGGCGUAAAGCGCGUGUAGGCGGGUCGGUAAGUCCGCUCUGAAAGCCCGGGGCUCAACCCCGGGAGGCGGGUGGAUACUGUCGACCUCGAGUCCGGAAGAGGCGAGUGGAAUUCCUGGUGUAGCGGUGAAAUGCGCAGAUAUCAGGAGGAACACCAAUGGCGAAGGCAGCUCGCUGGGACGUGACUGACGCUGAGACGCGAAAGCGUGGGGAGCAAACAGG